rnacentral:rRNA from 1 species
UACGUAGGGUGCAAGCGUUAAUCGGAAUUACUGGGCGUAAAGCGUGCGCAGGCGGUUCGGAAAGAGAGGUGUGAAAUCCCAGGGCUUAACCUUGGAACUGCACUUUUAACUACCGGGCUAGAGUACGUCAGAGGGGGGUAGAAUUCCACGUGUAGCAGUGAAAUGCGUAGAGAUGUGGAGGAAUACCGAUGGCGAAGGCAGCCCCCUGGGAUGAUACUGACGCUCAUGCACGAAAGCGUGGGGAGCAAACGGG